rnacentral:rRNA from 1 species
UACGCUGGCGGCACGCCUAAUACAUGCAAGUCGAACGAAGUAGCAAUACUUAGUGGCAGACGGGUGAGUAACAUGUGGGUAUCUUCCCUUUGGUGAGGAAUAACACGAGGAAACUUGUGCUAAUACCUCAUAAGUCUUUACGGAGAAAGCUUUAUGCGCCAAUGGAUGAGCCUGCACUUGAUUAGCUAGUUGGUGUAGGUAAUGGCUCACCAAGGCAUCGAUCAGUAGCUGGUCUGAGAGGAUGAUCAGCCACACUGGGACUGAGACACGGCCCAGACUCCUACGGGAGGCAGCAGUGGGGAAUUUUCCGCAAUGGGCGAAAGCCUGACGGAGCAACGCCGCGUGAGGGAUGAAGGCCUCUGGGCUGUAAACCUCUUUUAUCAAGGAAGAAGAUCUGACGGUACUUGAUGAAUAAGCCACGGCUAAUUC